GAUGAACGCUGGCGGCGUGCCUAAUACAUGCAAGUCGAGCGAAUGGAUUAAGAGCUUGCUCUUAUGAAGUUAGCGGCGGACGGGUGAGUAACACGUGGGUAACCUGCCCAUAAGACUAGGAUAACUCCGGGAAACCGGGGCUAAUACCGGAUAACAUUUUGAACCGCAUGGUUCGAUAUUGAAAGGCGGCUUCGGCUGUCACUUAUGGAUGGACCCGGGUCGCAUUAGCUAGUUGGUGAGGUAACGGCUAACCAAGGCAACGAUGCGUAGCGGAACUGAGAGGGUGAUCGGCCACACUGGGACUGAGACACGGCCCAGACUCCUACGGGAGGCAGCAGUAGGGAAUCUUCCGCAAUGGACGAAAGUCUGACGGAGCAACGCCGCGUGAGUAAUGAAGGCUUUCGGGUCGUAAAACUCUGUUGUUAGGGAAGAACAAGUGCUAGUUGAAUAAGCUGACACCUUGACGGUACCUAACCAGAAAGCCACGGCUAACUACGUGCCAGCAGCCGCAGUAA
rnacentral:rRNA from 1 species